rnacentral:rRNA from 1 species
GACGAAGGAUGCAAGCGUUAUCCGGAUUCAUUGGGUUUAAAGGGAGCGUAGGUGGCCUUAUAAGUCAGUGGUGAAAUCUUUGGGCUUAACCCAAAAAUUGCCAUUGAUACUGUAGGGCUUGAGUAUAGUUGCCGUUGGCGGAAUAUGACAUGUAGUGGUGAAAUACAUAGAGAUGUCAUAGAACACCGAUUGCGAAGGCAGCUGACGAAACUAUAACUGACACUGAGGCUCGAAAGUGCGGGGAUCAAACAGG